ensembl:lncRNA
GGGAGAUGUUUUUCCCGACCACUGUAUUUAAAGAUAAUGGGAAGCAAACAUGGUUGCUUCCGCAACCCAUAGACCGCCUCCUAUGUAUUUUUUAUAGAUUAAUUACAUAACUAUGAGAGUGUCUUAGUUAUUCUGGAAGAUGUAAUUACAGCCUAUUCUAUGAAUACUUAUGAGUAUGGUAUUCUUUCUUUUUUUAUACAUAAGGAACAGACAAAUACAGUUGUGACAAAUAUAGCAGUCCCAGCUGACAGCAACAUCAUUUCUGUGUGAACUUGGGUCCUAUUUGGAAGAUGUUCAUAAAAAUAUUCACAUAAAUACACAUAAACUGGGCUGUUAGGAUUAUUUCAAAAUUCAGGGGAAUCAGGAUAAAUGUUUUUUUCUACACACUGCAGCAUAUUUCUGUAUAUUGCAGCGUCAAUGUUUUUGUUUUUUUUCCUACUUUACUGGCAUCCUGGGUGCUAUCGACUGCGAGCCCACAGACUAUUUAUAGCGUCACUGUGAAAAGCAUUGGCAUACUGUUGAAUGAUUUCAUUUUCAGUUCUGUCAGAGAGCCAGCUCUCUCUCAUAUAAAUCCAUUCUCUUUCUUACGAGAGGUUGAAUGUACAUUCCUGACCAAUACAAUAUGACAAUGACAAUGUCAGAUACAAUGGCAUUCACUGUAAGGCCUUAGACUGGUUAAACUGUUAGGGCCGUUGAAUUUUUCUGUGCGUUUUCAUCAGUUCGAAGCCAUCAGUUUACCUUAUGCUUAUAGGCUGGAUCAGGUUAUCUGAAUCAACCCUUAGUCAUGCUGCUGUCAGCUCAUAUUGCUGUAGAACGUCACGUGAAGCACUGAGCACCUCUUCACUCCCUUUAUGUUUAUACAUCACAUUACAUUUUUUGUCUUUUUUCUCCCUUGGUGUGUUAUUUCUCUGUCUCCCUAUGUUAUCUUUGUCUUUUUUCUUCUCUUUUGUUUCCACUUCACCCCUAUGGCUUCUCCUCCCUGAGCCUGGUUCUGCUGGAGGUUUCUUCCUGUUAAAGGGAGUUUUUCCUUCCUACUGUUUCAAAGUGCUUGUAGUUUUUACCUCACAGCAUAAAGCACCUUGAGGCGACUGUUGUUGUGAUUUGGUGCUAUAUAAGUAAACCUGACUUGAACUGAAUUUUUAUCAAACAUCAACAGGGUGGUAGCCUGAAAUCCCAAGAUUAUAG